AUAGUUGACGAACAAACAUCUACAACAGGGAUUCUCGACCUUUUUCUUCCUGAGGCCCCCAACAUGCUAUAAAAAUUCCUCAGCCUGCCUCUGCCGCAACUAUUUUUCUGCAUGUCCAGGAGCUUAAAAGCCAGGGCUGGCAUUAGGGGGUAACAAGCCAGGCAACCACAGCACAGGGGGCCCCUCGAAGCUUUGUUGCUCAGGCCACAGCUUCAGCCCCACCUGGGAUGGGGGAGGGCUCGGGCUUCGGCUUUCUGCCCUGGGCCCCAGCAAGUCCAGCGCUGGCCCUGCUCGCUGGCUUAUUUUGGCAGACUACGUGAAACUUCCUUGCAGCCCCCAUGGGCCCCGUGGUUGAGAACCACUGAUUUACAGUAUGUGCCCCAGGGGUGUUGGGGGCUGGGAUGUAGCUGCACUUCUUGGAAAGAUGAAAUCUACUGGAGAAUGACCGCAUUUCAUGGAAAUACAGAACAGUAUCCGAGGGUCCAUACGCUAUAUUUUUAGGUCUCAUUGUGGAAUGAUUAGCCCGAACAGGGCCCUUCAAAGAACAGAAAGCUCCUGAACGAAUCUCAGGUGUGUGUGGACUUGUGAACAAGCAGCAGGAAAUGAGCUCUGUGGAAAUCAAUGGGAUUUGGGAAGAAAAGGAUACACCUGGGGCCAGAUCCUCAGCACCACCCGAGUAAUUAGAGCAGUGGUGCUCAAACUUUUGUCCUGGUGACCCCUUUCACACAGCAAGCCUCUGAGUGUGACCCCCCCCUUAUAAAUUAAAAAUAUUUAAUGCUAUUAUAAAUGUUGGAGGUGAUGCGGGGUUUGGAGUGGAGGCUGACAGCUCGCGACCCCCCCAUGUAAUAACCUCGUGACCCCCUGAGGGGUCACGACCCCCAGUUUGAGAACCCCUGAAUUAGAGCUACACCGUUUUGCACUAGGGGAGGAACUGACCCACUGUAUGUACCCAGCGUCUCCUUCCUUCCUCACACACAGAGUCAGGCUGUGUGGGCCUCCUGGAACUUUCUCUGCAGAGUUUUGCUGCAGUACACAUCAAACUUCCACCUUAAAAAGCAACCAAUAAACAAAGACACUGCCUUAUUUUCUCAAGCCACAUUCUUUGUCACUAAGCGCUGAACACUCUCUGAUUCUGUCCAUGAGAAAGCAACGGCUUCCAUAGCUGUUCCUGCAGUGCACGCCCCAGACAGCGGGGUUGUAUUCUGAACGUAUCACAAAGGGGCUUAAAACCAGCACUUCAGCCUCUUAAACAUCUCGGGAAGGGGCAAUUUCUCAUGACUUAACUUCAAAAUACUUCACUAAUUAAUAUCUGUAUCUGUUUUACUGUAUUUUUUUUUUUUAGUCCAUUGAGCAUUAGCCACUCACUUUAAGGGCUGAAUAGCCAGUCUAAAAUUUCGGUUUGGGGGUUUGUUUCUUUUUGCUAGGAACUUCAAAGCUAUUUGGAGCCCUUUGUUUCGUCUCUCUCUGUUGCCGUUUUCUUGCUCUGUACCUAUGCUACAUUUUCUUUUGAAAAGAGCCCCCAGCACCUAGAAGAUAUUUGUCAAUGGAAUACCCCAGGGUUAAACAUGUGACCCAUAAAAAUAAUGCUCUGGUUUUAAGAACACAACCAGUGUCAGUAAAAUGGACGGAACAGAAUGCUGGUACUGGUAAGUGGAGGGAGUUAGUGCACUUUGACUGGAAAUUGAAAUCCUGACUUAGGUCAGAAAUGAAAAUGAGUUUGAUGGGUCUCUUAUAAAGGUCCAGUCCCGCUUUUGUUAAAGUCCAUAGCUAGAGCCCCGGGGAUUGAGUGCCUUUCUGCACAUCCCAGACACACUGGGCACUGGGGGCUUGAGCCAAAGGCUGUUGAAAGCACUGGAAAGACUCUCCAGGGGCUGUGAAUGGAAGCUGUGGGUUCUCAGUACGGCUGAAAUCUCAGGCCACGUAUUUAGGUGGCUGAACAGGAAUUGAAGGGCCCACUUUUAAAAAUGUUGGCCUUUCUUUUGGGACAGUUUGUAGAAUCCCACAGAUCUAAAAGGAUAUUAACAUCAUAAACAGAAAAAUCAUCUGGUGUGAUGUUUCCAUCCCAUUAUCUCUUACCUACUGGUUAAUAUCAGUGAAAUACAGACAGAUGACUGUGUUAAUUCCUACCACUUCUCAGUGAUGGAUAUAGUUAAAAAAGUAAAAGGAUUACAGAUCUUUUCUUCUGGGGUGCGCACACCAGCUCUUGCAUGUGUGCGUGACUCCCAUUGGAGCUAAUUAUGCUUUAUACCUAUCCAAGCCUAUAAUCAUUUAUUGCCAGAUGGCAUCCAUCAUGCAUUGUUAUUGAAAUGCAUAAAUAAGGAAGGGAUUGAUUUCGCAAAGCCACGCUCCCACGAGCAAUUCUCUUGCACAUAACUUACCCCAUUGGCUCCAGUUGAAGGGCUUUGGGAUUGGACCCUAGCCCAGCAUCUAAAGAACCGCAUCCCUGCCCACUUCAAAGGGAUAUUGGAUGCCAAGGUCAAACACAGCUAAAAAAAGAGAGACCUGGUGGAAUUGAGCGAUGCAUAUCAGUAGCUCUGGGAACCCCUGAACAGGUGCUGGGCAGUUAGCACAUGUGUUCAUCUCCUUCUAUAUCCUGGUGGCUCACUCAUAUUUUCUCAUCUGGCAUGCAUGGCUUUCUCCUGUUCAGUCAUGUUUAACACUCAGGAGGAGAUGCGCAAUGGGAUCCUGACACGAGAACCGGUUGGUAUGAAUACAUGUAUAUAUUAUUCUUAUUAUUGUUAUUGUUAUUAUUAUGUAUUAUUAUUACCCAUUGCUGCUGAUUUUAUUGUCUGGCUGUGAAUCUCUCCUACUGUUUGCAGUGUGUACUGUACCUUGAAGUUUGAUGACACCGCAAAGAACGCUGCACCGUUUGCAUAUCUGAAUUUUUCUCCAGAUUAUUUCAAAAGAAGCGACUGCCUAUAGAUCACAUUUAUAAGUGUCCGCUCUCUUAGCUUGACCAUGACAGCAGAUGCUGUCUCUGUGUAAUUAGUUUAAAACCACAUUGGAAUGGAUAUAUGAUGCAUUUGCUCACUUGGCCUUUGAUAGCCUACAGGAUGAGGCCCCAGCUGCAAAUGAAAAGCCUUCCAGAGCAGUACGGCUUUCAGGUCCAUCAAAGGGUCCGAGUUGUAAUGAGCUGUAGAGGAUUUCACAUAGCUGUGUAUUUUGCAAAAGAUAUAAUACACCAUAAGGGGAGAGAAGGUGAUUUUCAUACCUUUACAUGGAAUAGGGAAGGAUGGGAAAGAGUCAAUGCAUUGCCAUAGAUUUCAUGGCAUCCAGUAAAAGCUUUUAAAAAUUGCAAACCGAUAGGCUCCUUGACUGGGUGGGGUUCCCCACCAUAGAUCAGUGGCUUUGCCCGUCUCUUCUCUAGGCCCGCUACAUCUUGCUAGCGUCACACACUAUCUCCCUCUCUCUUUCGCUCUCCCUCCUCCCCAAAUAACCUCUGUUUCUCCCUUCCCCCUUUUCCGCCCACUCACCUUGUCCAAUCUUGCCAACCUCAGGGAUCCUCUCUCUGCUGUCAUCCGCCAAUACCCCCAUAUUCCUGCCCAUUCCUCGCUCUUGUUCCUCCUCAGUGCUACCGAUUGUGCCUCUUUCAGAUUCUGAUGCUUUUCUUGCACAAAUGCUGCUGGGAGUAAUAGCAAAUAACCAGGUUUCCGGGUGCAUUCAACUGGGCAGCUGUUGGUGUUUCAGUGCCAUCCUCUGGGAGUCUCAGCACCCCUGGAAGUGUAAAGGUGUCCCAGCCAUGAAAACAAGGAGUCUAUUAAAAAGCUCAGUCUCGGGAGUCCCUGCUGAAAUGUACAGUGGAUUUAUCUUUUACUCAAAUGCCAAACCGCCCUCCCUAGUUUCCAGGACUGGUGCUGCUAGUUUGGCAGAAGAGGUUCCAGCAUUAGGGUAAACAAGAGGUGAAAGCUGAAUAUUUUAAAAUCCUUCUACCCUCAAAUUUAGCAGACGACAGGGCCUUGAACGCUUUUUUGUCAGAGACUUUGGAAGGAUCCCCCUGCAGAACCUCUGCAUACAUACCGUAAACCAGCACAUGCAGAGGGAGAGAACACAUACCGAGCCAUGAACAGGACUGUGGCUCCUUUCAAAGCUAUUUGAUGGGGGAACACCAACUCCUGGUAGAAAUGAAUGGCAAAAUACCUCAGCCCGUACAUCAAAAGAUGUCCUCUAGGAUCAGAAGAUCUCACGUGCCAAACUACAGACAAAGCUAAAGAUGCUCCAUCAACAGUGUUACUUUGGGCAAACUCUUUCAGAAGAUGGAGGGUAGGGUUUUCUGAAGCCCUCAGUGUUGGCCUAUCUCUGCUCUCAUUGAAGUCAAGGAUAAUAUGCCCCAUGACUUCCGUGGAACCAGAGCUUACUCAGCACUGAGUCCGUCCCCCGCCCCGCCGCCAUGUUUUUUCAACAGGACGGAAGUCCUGGAGACUUAUCUCCCCUUGACUGUAUGCCCCACUUUUCCCUUAGUUUUUUUUAUUCACAGAUGGCCCAGAAUCAGCUGGAGAAAGAACAUUCCCUUCAGAGCAGCAGGGAUGGCUGGCAUCCAAGCAAUGGCAGCAAAACCGUGGAGAUGGUCCUGUAAUAGAAAGUCAUAACCUAGCAGGCACCUAUAAUUUGACCUUUUAAUUGGUCAGUAAUGGUCUUGUGCAAAUGUGUGUGUGUGUGUGUGUAAUGAAGUCCUAACCACCCAGGCAAAGGGACUGUCUCGUCUGUGACAUGUAUGCCAGUGCUGGGAGCUGCAGUGGAAUGCAAGUGUCCAUUGACAGGAUGCUGAUAAGAAUGGGUAGAGAUGACAGGGAUGAUGGCAUGCUAACUCCAAGUAUCCGUUUUCCAUGAAGAGAUUAGCAUUUUCGAGUCCAUAAUUCUGCAUCGGCUACUUGAGUUUCCCAGAUGUGUGUUUCACAUCACUGCCUAGUAUUUCCCCGUCUUUGUUUUCCAUUUC